ACCAUAAAAUUAUAUAGUAAUCUGGUAAAUACUAACAUUGGCCUGAUACAAAGAAGAUUAGCAUGGCCCCUGCUCAAGGAUGACUUUUAUCCUUAGGAUUAGCAUUUAUCU